rnacentral:rRNA from 1 species
GUCUGGUGCCAGCAGCCGCGGUAAUUCCAGCUCCAAUAGCGUAUAUUAAAAUUGUUGCAGUUAAAAAGCUCGUAGUUGAAUUUCUGCUGCAUCGCUGUGUCCCUUCGGGGUCUCUGCAUGUGGCUUAUUUCGGACGGAGUUCGCUUUGUCUGGAUGUUUACUUUGAGAAAAUUAGAGUGCUCAAAGCAGGCUUUUGCCUUGAAUAGUUUAGCAUGGAAUAAUAAAGUAGGACUUUGGUUCUAUUUUGUUGGUUUUAGGUACCAAAGUAAUGGUUAAUAGGAACAGUUGGGGGCAUUCGUAUUUAACUGUCAGAGGUGAAAUUCUUAGAUUUGUUAAAGACGAACUACUGCGAAAGCAUUUGCCAAGGAUGUUUUCAUUAAUCAAGAACGAAAGUUAGGGGAUCGAAGACGAUCAGAUACCGUCGUAGUCCUAACCAUAAACAAUGCCGACUAGAGAUUGGAGGUCGUCAGUUUUUACGACUCCUUCAGCACCUUGAGAGAAAUCAAAGUCUUUGG